rnacentral:rRNA from 1 species
CCUACGGGAGGCAGCAGUGAGGAAUAUUGGUCAAUGGACGCAAGUCUGAACCAGCCAUGCCGCGUGCAGGAAGACGGCUCUAUGAGUUGUAAACUGCUUUUGUACGAGGGUAAACGCAGAUACGCGUAUCUGUCUGAAAGUAUCGUACGAAUAAGGAUCGGCGAACUCCGUGCCAGCAGCCGCGGUAAUACGGAGGAUUCAAGCGUUAUCCGGAUUUAUUGGGUUUAAAGGGUGCGUAGGCGGUCGGAUAAGUUAGAGGUGAAAUCCCGAGGCUCAACUGCGGAAUUGCCUCUGAUACUGUUCGGCGAGAGAGUAGUUGCGGUAGGCGGAAUGUAUGGUGUAGCGGUGAAAUGCUUAGAGAUCAUACAGAACACCGAUUGCGAAGGCAGCUUACCAAGCUACUUCUGACGUUGAGGCACGAAAGCGUGGGGAGCAAACAGGAUUAGAUACCCCAGUAGUC